rnacentral:lncRNA from 1 species
GCACAAUGAGGGCCAAUGUGUCACCAACAAGACUUUUCACGGUUGAAGCAUCGGUAGAUAACCUUGCACCCAUUGCACCACUGCAACAUGAUUCGUUUAUUUCAGUUUCAUGAGUAGAAGGAAUUAACACAUAUUGACUUGAAUUAAAAUACAUUUUGACAUAACUUGAAUUUGCAGGAUCAUCAAACCAUUUGGUUUCUUUGUGCACAAUCUUUUCAAAUGUCAAUGAACGAAUUCGCUCAAUAAGUUUUCCACCAGCAAUCCUAAAGAAGUAUUCCUGCAGUGGCAAAACUGCUAGAGUAAUGAAACCCAAACAGACAUAUAGAAGCGACCAGAACCUGGACUCUUUCCUCUGCUGUUCUGGAGGUAUAUAAAACAUAUUAAUGGCUGAUGAAAACAAUAAGCCAAAUAUAGGGAACACGACACCGUGUACUAAUGCAGCAAUGGUUCCAAGCAGUAUGACAGGAACCUCAAGCUUGGUCAACUUGGCCAAUCGCAAUAUAGAUACCCUUUUGGGUUUUUUCUUGUUAUCAAGUUGAACUUGUUCAAUAUCUUCUUCUAUUCUUGCAGAUAAGCCUCUAAGUGACUGAGAAUGUUGAAGACUCGCUGAUGAAGUUCGGCUCGCAAAAGAAGUUCUUUGGAUGGAGAAUCUAGCCAAGUGACUAU